AGCAGCCGCGGUAAUUCCAGCUCCAAUAGCGUAUAUUUAAGUUGUUGCAGUUAAAAAGCUCGUAGUUGAAUUUCGGGGUCAGUAGGUUGGUCAUGCCUCAGGUAUGCACUAGUCUCGCUGAUUCCUCCUUCCUGAUGAGCCAUAAUGCCAUUAAUUUGGUGUUGCGAGGAAUCUGGACUGUUACUUUGAAAAAUUAGAGUGUUUAAAGCAGGCUAACGCUUGAAUACAUUAGCAUGGAAUAAUGGAAUAGGACGUUCGAUCCUAUUUUGUGGUUUUCUAGGAUUGACGUAAUGAUUAAUAGGGAUAGUUGGGGCAUUAGUAUUCAAUUGUCAGAGGUGAAAUUCUUGGAUUUAUUGAAGACUAACUACUGCGAAAGCAUUUGCCAAGGAUGUUUUCAUU
rnacentral:rRNA from 1 species